rnacentral:misc_RNA from 1 species
AACACAAACCCCUUCACUUUCCCUUUCAAUCUUCCCUCCUUCCCUCCCUCCUUCCUUCCCUCCUUUAGUAGUUUUGUAGCCGCCACCACACAUAAAACUCAAAAAUUCUAUCCAACUCCCUGUCCAUGGCGGCCGCCGAUCCAACUCAGUUGCAGCAACUCGCCCUCCUCGUCGGGCCCGACCCCACUCACUUCGAAACCCUGGUAAACCACCUCAUGUCUUCCUCCAAUGACCAACGUUCUGCGGCAGAGUCAUUCUUAAACAUCUGCAAGCAAGCUCACCCUGACUUACUCCUCCUCAGACUUGCUCAUCUGCUCUCAUCCUCGGCCAAUCCUGAGGUUCGCGCCAUGUCCGCUAUCCUCCUCCGCAAGCACCUUACUCGCGCGACUGCCAACGAUGACUCGUUCCUCUACCCCAAGCUCACCGAGUCAACUCGCUCUGCCAUUAAGAAUAUACUACUCUCUUCUCUUCAGCGAGAGACUACAAAAUCGAUAACUAAAAAGAUAAACGAUACGGUUUCAGAGCUCGCUGCAUCUGUUUUGCCGGAUGGUGGGUGGCCUGAGCUGCUGCCGUUCAUGUUUCAAUGCGUGACCUCACAAAAUCAUAAUCUCCAAGAAUCGGC